UACGUAGGGGGCUAGCGUUGUCCGGAAUCAUUGGGCGUAAAGAGCGUGUAGGCGGUCCGGUAAGUCCGCUGUGAAAGUCGGGGGGCUCAACCCUCGGAUGCCGGUGGAUACUGUCGGGCUAGAGUACGGAAGAGGCGAGUGGAACUCCUGGUGUAGCGGUGGAAUGCGCAGAUAUCAGGAAGAACACCAACGGCGAAGGCAGCGUCGCUGGGACGGUACUGACGCUGAGACGCGAAAGCGUGGGGAGCGAACAGG
rnacentral:rRNA from 1 species